rnacentral:rRNA from 1 species
GACGAACGCUGGCGGCGUGCUUAACACAUGCAAGUCGAACGGAAAGGCCCUGCUUUUGUGGGGUGCUCGAGUGGCGAACGGGUGAGUAACACGUGAGUAACCUGCCCUUGACUUUGGGAUAACUUCAGGAAACUGGGGCUAAUACCGGAUAGGAGCUCCUGCUGCAUGGUGGGGGUUGGAAAGUUUCGGCGGUUGGGGAUGGACUCGCGGCUUAUCAGCUUGUUGGCGGGGUAGUGGCUUACCAAGGCUUUGACGGGUAGCCGGCCUGAGAGGGUGACCGGCCACAUUGGGACGGAGAUACGGCCCAGACGCCUACGGGAGGCAGGAGUGGGGAAUAUUGCACAAGGGGCGGAAGCCUGAUGCAGCAACGCCGCGUGCGGGAUGACGGCCUUCGGGUUGUAAACCGCUUUCGCCUGUGACGAAGCGUGAGUGACGGUAAUGGGGAAAGAAGCACCGGCUAACUACGU